rnacentral:lncRNA from 12 species
CUUUCCCCUUGUCCCCAUUCUAACAGACUUCUGGGGUGGAGCUGCUGGAUCACAUUUGGAGGGGAUGAAGGGCUGUUUGGUCUCUCGGGUGUGUUUUCCUUCAAGGCAGCACUGUCUCUUGCAGCUGUGGUGGUGAAGAUGGGUUGCUGAGCUCUUGCCAAGGACCUGUGGAGAGCUGAACUGGUGCUUGACUCAGAAGCCUCCUGUGCUUAAGAAAAGACUCCAUGCUGCCAGGGGUCUCUAUGGAAGGCUGCAGGUAUGCAGAGAGAGUUUCUGGAGAAGGCAUGUCCUGCCCCAGGAGAAAAAGCUGGAGCAAGCAGCAAGGCUACCAGCAAAAGUGCUUUUUGGAGGUAGACAAGUGGCUGACUGGCAGUGCUGGGGAGGCAGGGGAGUAUUUGGGUGGGGAAAGAAGGUAUUGAAACAGAGAAGAGGUUUUAACAGCAAAUGUAUGGUGGACAUAAGGGAGACGAAACACUGCUUAAGAAAUUGUCUGAUUUUAAAAAAUACAUUAUUUGGCUGUCAAGUGAAUUAUAGAGGAGAAAAGGAGAUUAUUCAUUAGAUGCAUCACAGUGACAGGACAUAAAGGAUUAGACAUGCUGUGUGAGC